UACGGGGGGGGUAAGCGUUGUUCGGAAUUACUGGGCGUAAAGCGCGCGUAGGCGGCUGCGCAAGUCGGUUGUGAAACCCCGGGGCUCAACCCCGGAACUGCAUCCGAUACUGCGUGGCUAGAGGUAGGUAGGGGAGAUCGGAAUUCCUGGUGUAGCGGUGAAAUGCGCAGAUAUCAGGAGGAACACCGGUGGCGAAGGCGGAUCUCUGGGCCUUACCUGACGCUCAGGUGCGAAAGCUAGGGGAGCGAACAGG
rnacentral:rRNA from 1 species